UCAAACUUGGUCAUUUAGAGGAAGUAAAAGUCGUAACAAGGUCUCCGUUGGUGAACCAGCGGAGGGAUCAUUACCGAGUUCUAACAAACUCCCAAACCCCUGUGAACAUACCUACUGUUGCUUCGGCGGGAUCGCCCCGGGCGCCUUCGCGGUGCCCCGGAACCAGGCGCCCGCCGGGGACACCAAACUCUUGAUUGUUAUAGUGGCAUUCUCUGAGUAAAUUAUACAAAUAAGUCAAAACUUUCAACAACGGAUCUCUUGGCUCUGGCAUCGAUGAAGAACGCAGC
rnacentral:misc_RNA from 1 species